GGGCGGAAGGCAUCACUUUGUCCGGACUCUAAUUCAAAUUGUAUUCAUCCGAUCUUCACCAAACUUGGUCAGCAGUUGCAUCUAGUUGAUAUCUAGGCCAAGUUCGAAUAUGGGUCAUGCCGGGUCAAAAACUAGGUCAUAGGGUCAAUUAGUGCAUUUUCAACGGCGCCACUUUGUCCGGACUCUAAUUCAAAUUGUAUUCAUCCGAUCUUCACCAAACUUGGUCAGAAGUUGUAUCUAGACAAUAUCUAGGUCAAGUUCGAAUAUGGGUCAUGCCGGGUCAAAAACUAGGUCACAGGGUCACUUAGUGUAUUUCAAGCAUUUAGCAUGGUGUCCGCUCUCUAAUUGAAGUAGUUUUCAUCCGAUCUUCACCAAACUUGGUCAGAAGUUGUAUCUAGACAAUGUUUAGGUCAAGUUCAAAUAUGGGUCAUGCCGGGUCAAAAACUAGGUCACAGGGUCACUUAAACCAUUUCAAGCAUUUAGCAUGGUGUCCGCUCUCUAAUUGAAGUAGUUAUCAUCCGAUCUUCACCAAAUUUGGUCAGAAGUUGUGUCUAGACAAUAUCUACAUGUAGGUCAAG